rnacentral:rRNA from 1 species
CCUACGGGAGACAGCAGUGGGGAAUAUUGCACAAUGGGGGAAACCCUGAUGCAGCGACGCCGCGUGAGUGAAGAAGUAAUUCGUUAUGUAAAGCUCUAUCAGUAGGGAAGAAAAUGACGGUAACUGAGUAAGAAGCCCCGGCUAACUACGUGCCAGCAGCCGCGGUAAUACGUAGGGGGCAAGCGUUAUCCGGAUUUACUGGGUGUAAAGGGAGCGUAGACGGCAGUGCAAGGCUGGAGUGAAAGGCGGGGGCUCAACCCCCGGACUGCUCUGGAAACUGUACGGCUUGAGUGCAGGAGAGGUAAGUGGAAUUCCUAGUGUAGCGGUGAAAUGCGUAGAUAUUAGGAGGAACACCAGUGGCGAAGGCGGCUUACUGGACUGUAACUGACGUUGAGGCUCGAAAGCGUGGGGAGCAAACAGGAUUAGAUACCCCUGUAGUC